rnacentral:antisense_RNA from 16 species
GCUUUCUCCCAGGUAGUGGCUGGGUGUAAAGCGAGCGUCGAACUGGUUGCAGCCGGUUCGGCGCUCAUUUUUUUCGUUU